GCAGACUUCGCUCCGACACGUGGU
rnacentral:piRNA from 1 species